rnacentral:rRNA from 1 species
CCUACGUGUGGCAGCAGUGGGGAAUAUUGCACAAUGGGGGAAACCCUGAUGUAGCGACGCCGCGUGAGUGAAGAAGUAUUUCGGUAUGUAACGCUCUAUCAGCAGGGAAGAAAAUGACGGUACCUGAUUAAGAAACCCCGGCUAACUACGUGCCCGCAACCGCGGUAAUACGUAGGGGGCCAGCGUUAUCCGGAUUUACUGGGUGUAAAGGGAGCGUAGACGGGAGCACAAGACUGGAGUGAAAUGCCGGGGCUUAACCCCGGAACUGCUUUGGAAACUGUGCAGAUAGAGUGCAGGAGAGGUAAGUGGAAUUGCUAGUGUAGCGGUGAAAUGCGGAGAUAUUAGGAGGAACACCAGUGGAGAAGGCGGCUUACUGGACUGUAACCGACGUUGAGGCUCGAAAGCGUGGGGAGCAAACAGGAUUAGAUACCCCAGUAGUC